rnacentral:rRNA from 1 species
GACGAAGGAUGCAAGCGUUAUCCGGAUUCAUUGGGUUUAAAGGGAGCGUAGGCGGACGUGUAAGUCAGUGGUGAAAUCUGUGGGCUUAACCCACAAACUGCCAUUGAUACUGCAGGUCUAGAGUACAGUUGCCGUUGGCGGAAUAUGACAUGUAGUGGUGAAAUACUUAGAUAUGUCAUAGAACACCGAUUGCGAAGGCAGCUAACGAAGCUGUAACUGACGCUGAGGCUCGAAAGUGCGGGGAUCAAACAGG